rnacentral:lncRNA from 1 species
GCAGUCCACGGCAAAACCUUUCAAGCAGAGCAAGAAGGCCCGAAUGAGGGAGGGAUGCAGCGGAGCUAACAUCUCAGGAUGCACCUUACAAAAGCCACAUUGUUUCAAUGACUAAUGGGGCAGAAGACAGGUGGAUAGGUGUGGCACCCGAUUUAUUUUCUGAUACAGCAACUAGAGGACAUGAAACAAAUAGCAGGCAAGAGGUUUGAGACAGAGAGAGACACUACACUAUGCAAUUCGGAAUCUCUGAGCCCCAAGACCUGGAGGACAAGGAACUGCUGAAGGAAAAUACCACGUUAUGCUUGUCCAGCUGUUAUGCUCUCCCAUAUGCCUAUACUUGCUGGCCAUUUUCACAGAUCCUGAAAAUCCCAACAAGGAGCAUGUGCCUAUUGACCUGUGCAGGCAUUUCAAGCUGCUGCAGCACACUGGGUUGUUACAAGCUGGUAAACGGUAAUCCCACAUGGACUGAUAUUUGGCAAUAUUUUAAGUGUGGCAACUUGAGCAAGACUCUGGGCUCUCAGUUAGAAAUACUUUAUCACAGAGGAGUUACUUAUUCAGGUUAG